UUUCUCCUAUAUAAAUAGCUUCUAUUCCUUUUGAGUCUAUACUCUUUAUAGUAUAUACCAAAUAUAAGUGAAUAGCACUUCGUUCCUUCACUUCACCACUCGGAUUUGAGUUCAAGUUGUGGCUGCUUUCUACAAAUCAUAUUUCCUUGUAUAGAAAACUGAAAUUUUAACACGUUAUUCUAUAUGCUCAUAACUUCCAAGUUCUCAGGAUGGAUGACGAGAUGCAAACAAAGCUUAUUCAACAGGGACAAGAAGAUGAUAGUGACUUGAAACGAAGGAUAUGGGUCGAAUCAAAAAAGAUAUGGAGGGUCGCCUUGCCUGGUAUUAUAGCAAGGGUUUGCGCUUUUGGAACUAUUGUUGUCACUCAGUCAUUCAUCGGACAUAUCAGCGAAACAGAUCUUGCUGGUUAUGCACUUGUUCAAGCACUUAGUGUUCGGUUUGUCAAUGGAAUACUUUUGGGAAUGUCGAGUGCAACCGAAACCCUUUGUGGACAAGCAUUUGGAGCCGGACAAAACCAUAUGAUGGGUAUUUACUUGCAACGAUCAUGGAUUGUGGACUUGAUUACUUUGACCAUCUUGCUCCCAGUCUUCAUCUUUGGUACACAAAUCUUUAAGCUUGUUGGCGAGGAAGAAUCAAUAGCAAACAGUGGUGGAUACAUAUCCUUAUGGUUCAUCCCUUUUGUAUACAACUUCGUUUUCAGCUUAACUAUACAAAUGUAUCUGCAAGCACAGUCAAAGAACAUGAUCAUCGCAUGGAUUUCAAUUUUCCAAUUCACGAUCCAUAUACCUUUGUCGCUACUUUUUAUAUAUAAGUUGAACAUGGGGCUCUCAGGUGCCAUGCUUGCACUGUCGUUUUCAUCUUGGUUCCUUGUGAUUGGCGAAUUCAUCUACAUUUUUGGGGGAUGGUGUCCGCAUUCAUGGAAAGGAUUCACAGUUGCUGCUUUUAAGGAUCUGUUACCAGUUGUGAAGCUCUCAAUAUCCUCUGGUGUGAUGGUCUGCUUAGAGUUAUGGUACAAUGCUUUUCUGGUCUUACUUGCUGGAUACAUGGAAGAUGCCGAGGUCGCAAUAGCAGCCUUCUCUAUUUGCCUGAAUAUUAACGUAUGGGAGUUGAUGAUAAACCUCGGUUUCUUAGGUUCAGCAUGUGUUCGGGUGGCGAAUGAAUUAGGAAGAGGAAACGCUAAAGCAGUGAAGUUUACAAUAAAAGUCUUGUUGGGGACUUCCAUUACCAUUGGCUUAUUCUUCUUCAUUCUUUGUUUGACGUUUGGAAAAAAACUUGCAUACUUGUUUACAAGCGAUGUCAGGGUUGCAGAUGCAAUAUCGGAUCUCUCUUUUCUUCUUUCUUUUUCGGUAUUGUUGAACAGUGUAUAUCCAGUACUAUCAGGGGUGGCAGUUGGAGCUGGAAUGCAAGGAGCUGUAGCAGUCGUGAACUUCGUUUGUUAUUACCUGAUCGGAAUUCCGUUGGGAGCUUUACUUGGGUAUACGACGACUCUUGAAGUUAAGGGUAUAUGGAUUGGACUAAUUGGUGGUGUUAUAACACAAACAAUUACAAUCAUAUAUUUGAUUUGGAGAACAGAUUGGGAUGAUCAGGUCAAGAAGGCUUCAGAACGUCUCGGUCGAUUUUACUUAAAGUUGAAUGAAGAUCCCUACGAGAUUUCUAACGAGUCGUGAUUAUGAAAAAGGUUAUGCUUGUGGUUUAAGGAUCAAGAUAUUCCGUCCACCGAACCACACGUGAAAAGGAUUCAACAUUGUGUUAAAACUCUGGAUGCUUUAAAGCUUAAAAACUCUGGUCAAAGCAACAAUAGCGAUGGAAAUCAUGUUCAAGAACAGAGAUUUUCAGAUGGGUAUGGUGGCAUGCCGCCUCAAUCAAGGUGGAGAGUUAGGAAAUCUUCAUUUACUCCAGGGGUGAAUCAACAUCCACUACUAUCACUGCUGAUCAUUAAUGAAGAUGACAAGAUUGUUGGAAACACGAUGCAAAAAAUCUCAGAAGAAAUUGUAUGGUGACUCUUUGACUAUCAUAAGUCAAUAUACAUAUAUGUAAUGUAACCGGGGAAACCUGGAAAAUUUUAGAUAAAUGGCAUUUAAGACGGGUAAU